GGAGCCGGACAGACCGUCGCUGCGGGGUUUUCCCCGGGGAGGAAAGUCCGGGCUCCACAGGGCAGAACGCUGGGCAAUACCCAGGGGGGGUGACCCUCGGAAAGCGCCACAGAAAGCAAACCGCCUCGCCACAGGGCAAGGUAAGGGUGAAACGGUGGGGCAAGAGCCCACCAGAUGCCGCGGUGACGCGGCAUGCUCGGCAUACCCCGUUCGGAGCAAGACCAAAUAGGGAAGGCGGCUGGCCCGGCCACAGCCUUCCGGGUAGGUUGCUGGAGGACGCGGGCAACCGCGCUCCUAGAGGAAUGACGGUCACGUGCGGGGAACCGCACGACAGAACCCGGCUUACCGUCCGACUCCCGUC
rnacentral:RNase_P_RNA from 1 species